AACGAACGUUGGCGGCAUGCCUUACACAUGCAAGUCGAACGGUAACAGGUCUUCGGAUGCUGACGAGUGGCGAACGGGUGAGUAAUACAUCGGAACGUGCCUAGUAGUGGGGGAUAACUACUCGAAAGAGUGGCUAAUACCGCAUGAGAUCUACGGAUGAAAGCAGGGGAUCGCAAGACCUUGUGCUACUAGAGCGGCCGAUGGCAGAUUAGGUAGUUGGUGGGAUAAAAGCUUACCAAGCCGACGAUCUGUAGCUGGUCUGAGAGGACGAUCAGCCACACUGGGACUGAGACACGGCCCAGACUCCUACGGGAGGCAGCAGUGGGGAAUUUUGGACAAUGGGCGCAAGCCUGAUCCAGCAAUGCCGCGUGCAGGAUGAAGGCCUUCGGGUUGUAAACUGCUUUUGUACGGAACGAAAAGCCCUGGGUUAAUACCCUGGGGUCAUGACGGUACCGUAAGAAUAAGCACCGGCUAACUACGUGCCAGCAGCCGCCGUAACAC
rnacentral:rRNA from 1 species